AUUGAACGCUGGCGGCAGGCCUAACACAUGCAAGUCGAACGAGUGGCGGACGGGUGAGUAAUGUCUGGGAAACUGCCUGAUGGCAGGGGAUAACUACUGGCAACGGUAGCUAAUACCGCAUACCAUCAGAUGUGCCAAGAGGGGAUUAGCUUGUUGGGGGGGUAACGGCUCACAAAGACGACGACCCCUAGAUGGUCUGAGAGGAUGACCAGCCACACUGGAACUGAGACACGGUCCAGCCUCCGUGGUGAGGAAGAAGUGGGGAAUAUGGCACAAUGGGCGCAAGCCUGAUGAAGCCAUGCCGCGUGUAUGAAGAAGGCCUUCGGGUUGUAAAGUACUUUCAGCGGGGAGGCGUUACCCGCAGAAGAAGCACCGGCUAACUCCGUGCCAGCAGCCGCGGUAAUUC
rnacentral:rRNA from 1 species